UGGGCUAUCGCCAAGCGGUAAGGCAACGGACUCUGACUCCGUCAUUACGAAGGUUCGAAUCCUUCUAGCCCAG
rnacentral:tRNA from 1 species